GGGCAGGAAAGAGUCUGCAGGUCAAAUCACGCCCUGCUUUUGCUCUUGCAAAACAUCCUCGCCUUCAGAGCGUGCCUUUGGUGACGUGAGUGCAGCUUGCUUGUCUUCGGCUGAGUGCACAGCUCCUGGAGCACGUCAGUGCCGUGCUGCUGACGGAUGAGGAGCAGGAUGAGGAGCACCACGUGCCCCACAGAGCUGGCAAGGAGUGGGAUGCAGUUCUGGGGGAAGAAAUGGGCUGUGCCUGCCCUUUCCUGUUACGUGACCUGCUGUGGUUUGGUGCUCUUAGCUGAGCCGUGCCAGCAUCCAAACCACUUUUUGGCUCUUCUGACAAACCCAGGCAAACAACCUAUGUUGCUUUUCCCUAAGCACAUCAGGAAGUGAGCCUUGAGUACAUCAUCUCAGCUCCAUCAGCUGCAAAAUGAAUGGAGAGCACAGACCCGGGAAGAAUACAUUUGUGAGCCGGUGCCCAGAAGCUCCUACUGUUAGUUGUUUAAAAAGAAAGAAACAGAAGCCCCUCCACCAAAACAACAAAGCCAAAGAGUAAGCUACAGAGCACACAGCCUCAUUUCUACAGCGUUAUCAUCAAUAAAACCCAUGGAGAUUGCA
rnacentral:lncRNA from 1 species